rnacentral:rRNA from 1 species
AGUAACGCGUGGGUAACCGUGCCUCAUACAGGGGGAUAACAGUUAGAAAUGACUGCUAAUACCGCAUAAGCGCACAGUGCUGCAUGGCACAGUGUGAAAAACUCCGGUGGUAUGAGAUGGACCCGCGUCUGAUUAGCCAGUUGGUGGGGUAACGGCCUACCAAGGCGACGAUCAGUAGCCGGCCUGAGAGGGUGAACGGCCACAUUGGGACUGAGACACGGCCCAA